GUAGGUGAACCUGCGGAAGGAUCAUUU
rnacentral:ncRNA from 3 species